UAAUAACUGUGGUGAGUGUAUUUAUUCAGUGUGUGUGUGUGUGUGUAGGUUGUUGUCGUGAACGUGAAGAUGUUGAAUGAGUCUCCAGAUCCAGUGUCUCCACAAAAAGAAUGGGAAAGUCUAGCAUGAACGGUUGUGGAGAAACGUCUUCUUAAAACACUUCUUCAAACUAUCAGUCCAACAUUUUUUAAUCAGUUUGAUGUAGUGAUAACCAAAGAAAGUCUAAAUUGAUCCCCAGUAUUAUUUAAGUGUUGUAGUGCAAUAUUGUCCCUCUGCUCGUUCUGUUCCCUGUAACGUGUUUCUUAGAUUUUGUAUCAUCAAUGUUAAAGUCCCACUGAAGUGUCUUGGUAAGCGCAGCUGUGAUGCGUUGAUGUAAUUUCCACUGAACAGCCAAUAGCGUUUAGUUUAACUCUCACACUGAGACUCUCAUACUUGACCAUAGAAGCGAAUCCGAGAGCUGACGAUACGCUGGACUCAACUGUAAAAAGGUUGCUGUAAAGUUACUGUAAAAAUGUUUACAGUAUCACUACUGUAAUUUCAUUUACAAUAAUACAAUUGUAUUCUGUAUUAAUAUUUACAGUAUGAGUAGAAAUAAGUACCAUAUUUUAAUUUACAGGAAUAAUACUGUUGUAUUCAUGCGUGAACUACUGUAUUUUUAUUUACAAUUUUAGAAUUGAUUUCCUACAUAAUUUGAUUUUUUUACGAUUUACAUUAGAAAAUAAUUACCGUAGGACACAUAUUUUCCCAUAAUCCUUGGCUAUAAACAGUAUUUUAC